rnacentral:rRNA from 1 species
GAUGAACGCUGGCGGCGUGCCUAAUACAUGCAAGUCGAGCGAACAGACGAGGAGCUUGCUCCUCUGACGUUAGCGGCGGACGGGUAAGUAACACGUGGAUAACCUACCUAUAAGACUGGAAUAACUUCGGGAAACCGGAGCUACUACCGGAUAAUAUAUUGAACCGCAUGGUUCAAUAGUGAAAUACGGUUUUGCUGUCACUUAUAGAUGGAUCCGCGCCGCAUUAGCUAGUUGGUAAGGUAACGGCUUACGAAGGCAACGAUGCGUAGCCGACCUGAGAGGGUGAUGGGCGACACAGGAACUGAGACACGGUCCAGACUCCUAGGGGAGGCAGAAGUAGGGAAUCGUCCGCGAUGGGCGAAAGCCUGACGGAGCAACGCCGCGUGAGUGAUGAAGGUCUUCGGAGCGGAAAACUCUGUUAUUAGGGAAGAACAAAUGUGUAAGUAACUAUGCACGUCUUGACGGUACCUAAUCAGAAAGCCACGGCUAACUACGUG